rnacentral:rRNA from 1 species
CAGCCGCCGCGGGAAUACAGAGGGUGCGAGCGUUAAUCGGAUUUACUGGGCGUAAAGCGUGCGUAGGCGGCUUCUUAAGUCGGAUGUGAAAUCCCUGAGCUUAACUUAGGAAUUGCAUUCGAUACUGGGAAGCUAGAGUAUGGGAGAGGAUGGUAGAAUUCCAGGUGUAGCGGUGAAAUGCGUAGAGAUCUGGAGGAAUACCGAUGGCGAAGGCAGCCAUCUGGCCCAAUACUGACGCUGAGGUACGAAAGCAUGGGGAGCAAACAGGAUUAGAUACCCCUGUAGUCCCUGUCUCUUAUAC